AAUAGAUCCCCGGUAGUCCACGCCCUAAACGAUGUCAACUAGUUGUCGGGGAUUAAUUUCCUUGGUAACGCAGCUAACGCGUGAAGUUGACCGCCUGGGGAGUACGGUCGCAAGAUUAAAACUCAAAGGAAUUGACGGGGACCCGCACAAGCGGUGGAUGAUGUGGAUUAAUUCGAUGCAACGCGAAAAACCUUACCUACCCUUGACAUGGUCGGAAUCCUUGAGAGAUCAGGGAGUGCUCGAAAGAGAACCGGCGCACAGGUGCUGCAUGGCUGUCGUCAGCUCGUGUCGUGAGAUGUUGGGUUAAGUCCCGCAACGAGCGCAACCCUUGUCAUUAGUUGCUACGAAAGGGCACUCUAAUGAGACUGCCGGUGACAAACCGGAGGAAGUGGGGAUGACGUCAAGUCCUCAUGGCCCUUAUGGGUAGGGCUUCACACGUCAUACAAUGGUACAUACAGAGGGCUGCCAACCCGCGAGGGGGAGCUAAUCCCAGAAAGUGUAUCGUAGUCCGGAUUGGAGUCUGCAACUCGACUCC
rnacentral:rRNA from 1 species